rnacentral:rRNA from 1 species
UACGGGGGGAGCAAGCGUUGUUCGGAUUUACUGGGCGUAAAGGGCGCGUAGGCGGCCACCGCAAGUCGGUUGUGAAAUCUCCGGGCUUAACCCGGAAAGGUCAAUCGAUACUGCGGGCUAGAGUGCAGAAGGGGCAACUGGAAUUCUCGGUGUAGCGGUGAAAUGCGUAGAUAUCGAGAGGAACACCUGCGGCGAAGGCGGGUUGCUGGGCUGACACUGACGCUGAAGCGCGAAAGCGUGGGGAGCAAACAGG